AAAUUACUCCCUCCGUCCCAAAAUUCUUGUCUUAGAUUUGUCUAGAUACGGAUGUAUCAAGUCACAUUUUAGUAUUAGAUACAUCCAUAUCUAGACAAAUCUAAGACAAGAAAUUUGGGAUAGAGGGAGUAGUUG
rnacentral:pre_miRNA from 1 species